CUCACAUUGAAGUGAGCACUCAUAUAUCGAUGUGAGCACUGCUGAGGAUUUGCCAAGCAGAUUGAAAACCUCCGAUGCAGUGGACCUGUAUUUGCCGAAUUUAAUGGCGUUACCAGUAGGAGCCUUGAGGCAGACUUCUUUGAGGCUCUGGACCAGCACACCCCACGUUUCAUCCAACUGUUCAAAUCAAAGAAAGGAUCGGUUGGACAGAAACUGACAGAGUUGAUGCAGAGCAUCAACUGGGUGAUACCAGACGUGACUGAACAGCGCUCUGUUGUCCUCAAAGGGAUUGCGAUUGUUCUUGGCGACGACUCCAACGAUUUCUUCGUUGGAGUCAGUCGGACGGACAACCCCCACCCCCAAAACGAAAACUCUUCGGUUCUCCACGAAUUACACAAGUCACCCAAAUCAGCUUUAAAAAACCGGGAGGCGCCGAAACGCGCCUAAUUUGCAUCACUGAUAUACUGUUAGGUUAGCCAAUCUCCAUUUAGCAAACACACAUUUUAAAAGCUUUUCGCCUGCCGUCUGUCUGCAGACUUGUCAAAGCAUUAAUUCAUGGUUUUUACUAACCGGUAUCAGUAUGUUGUUACUUCGGCAUCAUUUUUUAAACGUGUAUUACAAUUAAUUCACGGUCAAAUAUGUUCAUUUUGUUGUAGUUGUAGCCCCCUUGCCAGCGAUUCUCUCUCUCUAGUUUAGCAUACUCAGCCCAACUCAGCUUGGUUGUUGGCCCGCUAAGAACCUUGAUUUUAUGGGGCCAGAAAAACUGUGAAAUAGUACCCGCUAGCCGGUCCUACGCCAAGUGGGAACCAAAAACGGCACGCUUAAACCGCGCUGUAGUGGAAAUGCGCCAGUCUGCACCGAGGCCGGGCCGGAGGGUCACUCCUCAAGCUCCCUGUCCCGCACCGCAACCCGCUAGGAGUAUACUGACUGGCGCUCACACGUUGUGAAGUGUAACUUCAUUAAUGACAUUAAUAAUUAAGUUACUCACGUGCUAGUCUUUGUUCAAUGCCUUCUAAACAGAACCUCAACUUAUACAAAAAGCACUUUUAUGCAGUUAAAUCAAGUCAGCCCUCGUCUAUCUCCGUUUAUUAAAUGUUGACACUCUUAAGACUACCUCCUGGGCCAAGCUGCAACAGGAUUUCGCCACAUUAUGUCCGCAAUAGUUAAGAUAGCAUUAGCUAACGUUAGCUAAUGUUAAGCUAAUGCUAAUGUCAUCUUAACUAGCAAGCAUAUACACCUUGAGAUUAAAUACAACAAGACAGCAAAAACGGUCGGUUGGGAUGUUAAUAUGUACUCACCAAAGCAGUGUGCUCAGCAAAAUAUUCACUGUAAUGCUGAGUGCGACAAUGAGAAUGACCAUAGCCGGUGGGGGGACGUCCAUCUGCUGCAGGGCUUGUUGCACAUGUUCCAGAAAGUUCCAGAAAGUAAAUGAGCGCCAAGUGGUUAAGGAGUGAUCUGCGCAUGUCCUAAUGUUGAAAAAAAAAUAACCGUGUCCACUAACUUAGUUUUUUAAAAUUAGCUCACAUCAAUUACAUUGAGUUAGGUAGAUUUUUCGACCACGUAUUACAGGUUACUUAUUUAAACUGAGUGUUAAUACAAAAUAAAAUAAGUAAGGCUUACUUAUUAAUUCUUAUGACGAUGACUUACACGAUGUUAGGUUUUACAGUGUGUCCUAUAAUAUGAAUUGGAAUUAUUUCAUACCUGUUUUUCAUUUAUUCCCUUAUUUUGUAUUUCUUAAAUGAUCAUAUAAAGGGGUGCCUUGGAAAUACUUGUUUACAUAAAUAGUGAUUAAACAGUUUGAGACCCACUAAUUAUUACUUAGACUAAAGUUAACUAUCUAAACACUCAGAGAGUCCUUUACCUCACCUGAGCUGAGGUUAUCUGAGACUCUCCCCCACCUUGUUGUAGAAACAGCUCCUUAUGUCCAUUUGCUUAGCUAGCUAACCAGAUGCUAACAACAACAAUCCCCGGUGCGUUCUCUCUCUCUCUCGCUCGCUCACUCACUCACUCACAAUGCGCUCAUGCCACACACAGAGAGCCGAGCUUGAAUGACACACAGAGACCAGAAUGACGUGUUGUAUCAUAUUAUAAUUUCGAUGGCUUUAUUGUAUGAUCAGUAUGACAGAUGAACAGAUCGUCCCGGGUGUUUCUCAAUGUCAAGGAAGUCCUUCGUUGCGGGAAAUUUCGAGGAUGCACAUGUGUAUCCUCCGCGGUCUUAAAAUCCCCACAAUGCUUUGCGCACGGACCAAUUUCCAAAAUCUUUGGCGGAAAAUGGCUGAAGUGAAGCAGUACACAUUUAAAUGUAAGUAGGCUAUGGCGUAGAAAAUGUGCACAUGACUUGUGUUUAAAGUUUACAGUCCGUUUGAGUUUUGCCCGUGUGAACGCAAACCGAACCUUCUGAAAAAUGAAACAAUGGAACAAACUCGUCUGGUGCGCAUCAGAGAAGCGGACUAUUAGGUUUGAAUGAGACCUUUGAGCGUUUUGCACCUAAAUAAAUAAUUAAAAUGAACCUUGUUUUGACUUUGCCUCUUUAGUUGAUAUUUGUGGUUUAUGCUACAAUGUGCACCAAUAUUAUGGAACAGUCCUUCGGCGGGACUCGAUGACGUGUAUCCUUGAAAUAGUGGCUCUGGAGGAUCCUUCCUUGACAUUGAGAAACACCCAGUGUACUGUACGUCUGUCUCUAUCUCUCUCUGUCUAUGUCUCUCUGUCUAUGUCUCUCUCUAUUUAUUUAGCUAAAAUGGUAAUCCAACUUCACCAGCUAUAUCAUAAUGAGACCUUGCUGGUGUACCAGCUUCACCAGCAAGGCCAUGCUGGUGUACCAGCUUUCCCAUGCUGGUCUUGCUGGUUUACGAGCAUGGUCUGGUGAAGCUUCACCAGCAAAAACCAGCAUAGACCAGCAUGAAUUCUAUGUUGGUUUUUUCAGCCGGGUGGAGAGAGAAAAUAAAUCUAGUUUCAGCUUUUAAUGCAUUUUACAACUUUAAGGACUUAAUGAUUCUAAUAAGAGCUAUAAGAUAGUUUAUUUCGUUUUUUUAAAAAGGUAUCCGAUGAUUUACAGACGUCUCUUUCCCAUAUACAUAUUUCUGGGCCGGGUGACGUCGCGGACUGACACGGAAAUUGUAGUACCGCCGUUUGGACAUCCAUGGUUUGGACGGUUUGGACCAUGGAUGUAUAAAAAGAACGGUUUGGACGCGGCCUUCUUUUCCCAGAUUUCAGGGAUACAUCUGAUGUAUCCUCUGUGGCAGGCGCGCCAGAUUCAUUUUAGAAGUGGGGGGGCCAAAAAAAGUGCGUGUGUAUGGCCCAAUCCCAAACCACGCCCUACACCUACACACUCCCCCUCCGUGACGGAGUGAACUCCGUGGAGUGAC